rnacentral:lncRNA from 1 species
UCAUUUCAUUUUUUAGCGAUAAUCCAAGAUUUGUGUUUUUUGAUGUUUUUUGUUUUUUUUAUUUAUAUUUUUCAGUCCAAUAACAUAAAAUAAAUUGAGGCCCCCAAGAUUUGAGACCAAGUGCUGUAGAGUUUCAUGCACAUGUAAAGGGCCAGGCCAAUUUAGAAUUCUUUCCCAAUUUUCUUCUUGUUGAAAGAGAAUGUUUUGC